rnacentral:rRNA from 1 species
GAUGAACGCUGGCGGCGUGCCUAAUACAUGCAAGUCGAGCGAACAGACGAGGAGCUUGCUCCUCUGACAUUAGCGGCGGACGGGUGAGUAACACGUGGAUAACCUACCUAUAAGACUGGGAUAACUUCGGGAAACCGGAGCUAAUACCGGAUAAUAUAUUGAACCGCAUGGUUCAAUAGUGAAAGACGGUUUUGCUGUCACUUAUAGAUGGAUCCGCGCCGCAUUAGCUAGUUGGUAAGGUAACAGCUUACCAAGGCAACGAUGCGUAGCCGACCUGAGAGGGUGAUCGGCCACACUGGAACUGAGACACGGUCCAGACUCCUACGAGAGGCAGCAGUAGGGAAUCUUCCGCAAUGGGCGAAAGCCUGACGGAGCAACGCCGCGUGAGUGAUGAAGGUCUUCGGAUCGUAAAACUCUGUUAUUAGGGAAGAACAAAUGUGUAAGUAACUAUGCACGUCUUGACGGUACCUAAUCAGAAAGCCACGGCUAACUACGUG